rnacentral:rRNA from 1 species
GGAUGAAAGUGGGGGAUCGCAAGACCUCAUGCUCGUGGAGCGGCCGAUAUCUGAUUAGCUAGUUGGUAGGGUAAAAGCCUACCAAGGCAUCGAUCAGUAGCUGGUCUGAGAGGACGACCAGCCACACUGGAACUGAGACACGGUCCAGACUCCUACGGGAGGCAGCAGUGGGGAAUUUUGGACAAUGGGCGAAAGCCUGAUCCAGCAAUGCCGCGUGAGUGAAGAAGGCCUUCGGGUUGUAAAGCUCUUUUGUCAGGGAAGAAACGGUGAGAGCUAAUAUCUCUUGCUAAUGACGGUACCUGAAGAAUAAGCACCGGCUAACUACGUGCCAGCAGCCGCGGUAAUACGUAGGGUGCAAGCGUUAAUCGGAAUUACUGGGCGUAAAGCGUGCGCAGGCGGUUUUGUAAGUCUGAUGUGAAAUCCCCGGGCUCAACCUGGGAAUUGCAUUGGAGACUGCAAGGCUAGAAUCUGGCAGAGGGGGGUAGAAUUCCACGUGUAGCAGUGAAAUGCGUAGAUAUGUGGAGGAACACCGAUGGCGAAGGCAGCCCCCUGGGUCAAGAUUGACGCUCAUGCACGAAAGCGUGGGGAGCAAACAGGAUUAGAUACCCUGGUAGUCCACGCCCUAAACGAUGUCUACUAGUUGUCGGGUCUUAAUUGACUUGGUAACGCAGCUAACGCGUGAAGUAGACCGCCUGGGGAGUACGGUCGCAAGAUUAAAACUCAAAGGAAUUGACGGGGACCCGCACAAGCGGUGGAUGAUGUGGAUUAAUUCGAUGCAACGCGAAAAACCUUACCUACCCUUGACAUGGCUGGAAUCC